rnacentral:piRNA from 1 species
UGGGUUCUUUCAGUUGCUUGGGAGCCU